GAAGAAGAAUUACAAUCAGAGCUGUAAAAAAAAUCUAGAAAAAUAAGAUAAAAAAAUAAAAAACAAAAAUUUUUUUGGAAAAAAAAGGGAAACACAAGAACACGUAGAGAAAACCUAGCGGAAGAAAAAAACGAAGAGAAAAUACUGUGAUAGUAUAUAUAUAUAUAUAUAGUCCAGCUAUGGUGCUUGUAAAAGCACCAAGCACUUGGUGCUUAUAAAUUUUUUACCGUUAGAUUUACUCCACGGAUCAUUUUCAACCAUUAGAUUAUACUAUUUAACCAACCAUCCACUCAACCCUAGUGUGCCCACAUCAGAGGGUUGUGCCCACAUCAUUCUAACCGCAUAUCUUUUAAUCCAACGGCUAAAAAUCUACAAGUACAAAUGUCUUGGUACUUUUAAAACAUAGGAGUUCAACAUAUAUAUAUAUAUAUAUAUAUGACGUUAUUAUCAUAAUAUAUACUAAUAUAAUAUAUGCAACAAAAAUAUAAAUCUAUACAGAAAAUUUAAAAUCAAAAUUUGGUCCUGAAAUACAAUAAUAAAAU
rnacentral:lncRNA from 1 species